AGUGAACGCUGGCGGCAUGCCUAACACAUGCAAGUCGAACGGCCGCACAGUAAGCGCUUUCUCUUAAGGGUGGCGACUGACGGACGGGUAAGGAAUACAUCGGCUACUUCUUUUUCGUGGGGGACAACGGGAGGAAACUGACGCUACUACCGCAUAUGAUCAACGGCUGAAAGCAAUGGAGAUUCGCACCUUGGGUGUCUGUUAGAGCUGAUGCCGCAUUAGCUAGUUGGCGGGGUAAGGGCCCACCAAGGCGACGAUCCGUAGCUGGUCUGAGAGGAUGAUCAGCCACACUGGAACUGAGACACGGUCCAGACUCCUACGGGAGGCAGCAGUAGGGAAUAUUGGACAAUGGGCGCAAGCCUGAUCCAGCCAUACCGCGUGGGUGAAGAAGGCCUUCGGGUUGUAAAGCUCUUUUGUUGGGAAAGAACAGCUGUAUAUGAAUACCCCGAUGUCUUGACGGUACCCAAACAAAAAGCACCGGCUAACUACGUG
rnacentral:rRNA from 1 species